GUUCGCUCUUAACGGAGAGUUUAUGCAGAAAUCCAACUGCGUAGAUCAUAGAACGGUCUUAAACAUUAAGGAGAAAACAAAAUG
rnacentral:ncRNA from 1 species